rnacentral:rRNA from 1 species
UACGUAGGGUGCGAGCGUUGUCCGGAAUUAUUGGGCGUAAAGGGCUCGUAGGCGGUUUGUCGCGUCGGGAGUGAAAACCAGGUGCUUAACACCUGGCUUGCUUUCGAUACGGGCAGACUAGAGGUAUUCAGGGGAGAACGGAAUUCCUGGUGUAGCGGUGAAAUGCGCAGAUAUCAGGAGGAACACCGGUGGCGAAGGCGGUUCUCUGGACAGUUCCUGACGCUGAGGCACGAAGGUCAGGGGAGCAAACGGG